UUCUUUGUAGUCUAGUUGGUUAGGAUACUCGGCUCUCACUCGAGAGACCCGGGUUCAAGGUCCCGGCAAUGAAA